rnacentral:tRNA from 2 species
GCGCCUGUAGCUCAGCAGGAUAGAGCAACUGCCUUCUAAGCAGUAGGUUGGGGGUUCGAGUCCCUCCAGGCGUA